rnacentral:rRNA from 1 species
UGUGCACUUUUCUCUUAGUAAGACGUCGUGAUCCAUUAGAAAUUGGUAUACGCCAGUAUACAGUGGGUCAUCAAUAGGCCGGCAUGAAGUUUCUCGGAACAAAUGGCGCGAUCCUUUACGGUUGUGUGUAUUGUCUGGGAAGCGUGCAUGACUGUCUGAUGGAUUUUAAAGACCAUAUUAUUGAUGAUGGGAGCGUAUAUGUGUCCGAUCGACGGCGGUUAAAUUUGGGAUACCUUUUGGACCCGUCUUGAAACACGGACCAAGGAGUCUAUCUAGUAUGCGAGUAAAUGGGUAGUAUGAAACCUAUUUGCAGAAAAAACUUGACUGUUCAGGGUCCCUUCUCCAUCCCGGAGUAUUUUCAUCAACAUGCGCAAAAGUGCAUGGAAAAUAUAUCAUGAGCACACUGGAUACGACCCGAAAGAUGGUGAACUAUGCCUGAUCAGGUCGAAGUCAGGGGAAACCCUGAUGGAGGACCGAAGCAGUUCUGACGUGCAAAUCG